CAGGCCUAACACAUGCAAGUCGAGCGGGCACUUUCGGGUGUCAGCGGCGGACGGGUGAGUAACGCGUGGGAACGUGCCUUCUGGUUCGGAAUAACUCAGGGAAACUUGAGCUAAUACCGGAUACGCCCUUUUGGGGAAAGGUUUACUGCCGGAAGAUCGGCCCGCGUCUGAUUAGCUAGUUGGUGGGGUAACGGCCUACCAAGGCGACGAUCAGUAGCUGGUCUGAGAGGAUGAUCCGCCACACUGGGACUGAGACACGGCCCAGACUCCUACGGGAGGCAGCAGUGGGGAAUAUUGGACAAUGGGCGCAAGCCUGAUCCAGCAAUGCCGCGUGAGUGAUGAAGGCCUUAGGGUUGUAAAGCUCUUUUACCCGGGAAGAUAAUGACGGUACCGGGAGAAUAAGCCCCGGCUAACUUCGUGCCAGCAGCCGCGGUAAU
rnacentral:rRNA from 1 species